rnacentral:misc_RNA from 1 species
UGGAAGUAAAAGUCGUAACAAGGUCUCCGUUGGUGAACCAGCGGAGGGAUCAUUACAGAGUUACUACUCCAAACCCAUUGUGAACCUUACCUAUGUUCUGUUGCCUCGGCGGCGUGGUCAGCGCCCCCUCUGAAAAGAGGACGAUGUCCUCCCGCCGGCAGCACCAAACUCUUUGAAUUUUACAGCGGAUCACAGUUCUGAUUUGAAAACAAAAAACAAGUUAAAACUUUCAACAACGGAUCUCUUGGUUCUGGCAUCGAUGAAGAACGCAGCGAAAUGCGAUAAGUAAUGUGAAUUGCAGAAUUCAGUGAAUCAUCGAAUCUUUGAACGCACAUUGCGCCCGGCAGUAAUCUGCCGGGCAUGCCUGUCCGAGCGUCAUUUCAACCCUCGAACCUCCGUUUCCUCAGGGAAGCUCAGGGUCGGUGUUGGGGCGCUACGGCGAGUCUUCGCGACCCUCCGUAGGCCCUGAAAUACAGUGGCGGUCCCGCCGCGGUUGCCUUCUGCGUAGUAAGUCUCUUUUGCAAGCUCGCAUUGGGUCCCGGCGGAGGCCUGCCGUCAAACCACCUAUAACUCCAGAUGGUUUGACCUCGGAUCAGGUAGGGUUACCCGCUGAACUUAAGCAUAUCAAUAAGCGGAGGAA